rnacentral:rRNA from 1 species
UACGAAGGGGGCGAGCGUUGUUCGGAUUUACUGGGCGUAAAGGGCGCGCAGGCGGCUCAUUGUGUCAGGCGUGAAAGCCCCGGGCUUAACCUGGGAACUGCGUUUGAUACGGAUGGGCUAGAGUUCGGGAGAGGAGAGUGGAAUUCCCAGUGUAGAGGUGAAAUUCGUAGAUAUUGGGAAGAACACCGGUGGCGAAGGCGGCUCUCUGGACCGAUACUGACGCUGAGGCGCGAAAGCGUGGGGAGCAAACAGG